rnacentral:rRNA from 1 species
GAUGAACGCUGACAGAAUGCUUAACACAUGCAAGUCAACUUGAACUUCGGUUUGGGUGGCGGACGGGUGAGUAACGCGUAAAGAACUUGCCUCACAGCUAGGGACAACAUUUGGAAACGAAUGCUAAUACCUGAUAUUAUGAUUAUAUGGCAUCGUAUAAUUAUGAAAGCUAUAUGCGCUGUGAGAGAGCUUUGCGUCCCAUUAGCUAGUUGGAGAGGUAACAGCUCACCAAGGCGAUGAUGGGUAGCCGGCCUGAGAGGGUGAUCGGCCACAAGGGGACUGAGACACGGCCCUUACUCCUACGGGAGGCAGCAGUGGGGAAUAUUGGAUAAUGGACCGAGAGUCUGAUCCAGCAAUUCUGUGUGCACGAUGAAGUUUUUCGGAAUGUAAAGUGCUUUCAGUUGGGAAGAAAAAAAUGACGGUACCAACAGAAGAAGUGACGGCUAAAUACGUG